AGAAUGCAUAUUGACACAGCUAGUGUCUGAAAGAGAAAACUGCAUGAGUAAAUUUCAAUAGCGUAUUUGGUAACCGAACCUGAAAGUCCCUUUUAGAAAAAAAAACAACUAUUCUGGAUAUGCUUUUCACUUAGAGAAAACACCAAUAAUGAUCCAUGUGUCACGAGACCAAAAUCAAGGUACCAAUAGGGCCAGGUUUAUUUAUGGAGGGUCUACAGGAG